rnacentral:tmRNA from 1 species
GGGGCUGACAGGAAUCGACAGGAAGGUGUGUCAUGUCAGUAAGCAUGCCGGGGAAUGAUAGUUCACCCCGUUAACAAAUGGCUGUCGACCAAUAAUUGGCGAAACACGUUUCGCUAUGGCUGCCUAGUUCUAGGUAAUUAGCUAGCCAUUAUGCCACAGGUUUGAUAUCUGCUACAAAAUCUGCCGCAUACCAUAAAAUGCAGAAUAAGCCAAAGGGAUGUCCCGACCGGAGGCCGACAAUCAAAAGGAAUCGAAUGACACCGCGUCGUUACAGUACCUGGUGUUGUUUUAAAUCCGAUCUGUAACUAAGCAUGUAGAAGGCUGAGGUGAGCUUUAUCUGGACGGGGGUUCAAUUCCCCCCAGCUCCACAA